rnacentral:rRNA from 1 species
AUUGAACGCUGGCGGCAGGCCUAACACAUGCAAGUCGAGCGAGCGGCGUACGUGUGAGUAAUGUAUGGGGACUGCCCGAUAGAGGGGGAUAACUACUGGAAACGGUGGCUAAUACCGCAUACUAUCGGAUAACCCAUAUGGGAUUGGCUAGUAGGUGGGGGAAAGGCUCACCUAGGGUACUAUCUCGAGCUGGUCUGAGAGGAUGAUCAGCAACAAUGGGACUGAGACACGGCCCAUACUCCGACGGAGGCAGAAGUGGGGAAUAUUGCACAAUGGGAGCAAGCCUGAUACAGCCAUGCCGCGUGUAUUAAGAAGGCCUUAGGGUUGUAAAGUACUUGCAGCGGGUAGGCGUUACCCUCAGAAGAAGCACCGGCUAACUCCGUGCCAGCAGCCGCGGUAAUUG